UACGAAGGGUGCAAGCGUUGCUCGGAAUUAUUGGGCGUAAAGGGUGAGUAGGUGGUCUGAUUUGUCUGUGGUGAAAUCCUUGGGCUCAACCUAAGAAGUGCCUCGGAAACGGUCGGACUAGAGUGCUGGAGAGGGUCGCAGAAUUCCCGGUGUAGCGGUGAAAUGCGUAGAGAUCGGGAGGAAUACCUGUGGCGAAAGCGGCGACCUGGACAGUAACUGACACUCAAUCACGAAAGCGUGGGGAGCAAACAGGAUUAGAUACCCUGGUAGUCCACGCUGUAAACGAUGGAUACUAAACUUAGUGGGACUUGACCCCUGCUGAGUUGGAGCUAACGCAAUAAGUAUCCCGCCUGGGGAGUACGGUCGCAAGACUAAA
rnacentral:rRNA from 1 species